AUUCAUUUGACGAGUCCCAAAGAGGACGAAACGCACGCUCUGAAU
rnacentral:hammerhead_ribozyme from 1 species